rnacentral:tRNA from 1 species
AGCAGAGUAGGGCAGCGGUAGCCCGUCAGGGUCAUAGCCUGAAAGUCGAAGGUUCGAGUCCUUCCUCUGCAACCA